UACGUAGGGUGCGAGCGUUAAUCGGAAUUACUGGGCGUAAAGUGUGCGCAGGUGGCCGCGCAAGUCGAGUGUGAAAUCCCCGAGCUUAACUUGGGAAUUGCGCUCGAAACUACGUGGCUCGAGUGUGGCAGAGGAGACUGGAAUUCCUGGUGUAGCAGUGAAAUGCGUAGAUAUCAGGAGGAAUACCGAUGGCGAAGGCAGGCCUCUGGGCUGACACUGACGCUCAUGCACGAAAGCGUGGGGGAGCAAACAGG
rnacentral:rRNA from 1 species